CUACGGGUCGCUGCAGUGAGGAAUAUUGCACAAUGGGGGGAACCCUGAUGCAGCAACGCCGCGUGGAGGAUGACGCAUUUCGGUGUGUAAACUCCUUUUAUAUGUCAAGAAAAUGACGGUAGCAUAUGAAUAAGCACCGGCUAACUCCGUGCCAGCAGCCGCGGUAAUACGGAGGGGUGCAAGCGUUACUCGGAAUCACUGGGCGUAAAGGACGCGUAGGCGGGUUGGAAAGUCAGGUGUGAAAUCCUACAGCUUAACUGUAGAACUGCACUUGAAACUUCUAAUCUAGAGUAUGGGAGGGGGAGAUGGAAUUAGUGGUGUAGGGGUAAAAUCCGUAGAUAUCACUAGGAAUACCUAAAGCGAAGGCGAUCUCCUGGAACAUUACUGACGCUAAGGCGUGAAAGCGUGGGGAGCAAACAGGAUUAGAUACCCCGGUAGUC
rnacentral:rRNA from 1 species